AGAAGUAAACUUAAGGGUCACUUUAUAUUCUGUUGUGACUCUUCUGUAUGCUGCAGG
rnacentral:pre_miRNA from 1 species